AUUGAACGCUGGCGGCAGGCCUAACACAUGCAAGUCGAACGCGUGGCGGACGGGUGAGUAAUGUUUGGGACUCUGCCUGAUGGAGGGGGAUAACUACUGGCAACGGUAGCUAAUACCGCAUCCCAUCGGAUGUGCCCAGAUGGGACUAGCGAGUAGGGGGGGUAAAGGCUCACCUAGGCGACGAUCCCUCGCUGGUCUGAGAGGAUGACCAGCCACAGUGGAACUGAGACACGGUCCAGACUCCGACGGGAGGCAGAAGUGGGAAAUAUUGCACAAUGGGCGCAAGCAUGAUGCAGCCAUGCCGCGGGUAUGAAGAAGGCCUUCGGGUUGUAAAGUACGUUCAGCGGGGAGGCGUUACCCGCAGAAGAAGCACCGGCUAACUCCGUGCCAGCAGCCGCGGUAAUAC
rnacentral:rRNA from 1 species